GCCAACCGUGUGAGUGUAAGGAAUUCAGUUAACCUCCUUGAGCUGAGCUUCCUUGUCUGUAUCAUAAACACAACCACAUGUCCCUCCGUGGGGAUUAAUGUGUGGACCUAAUACUGCACACCUGGCAGAGACUGCUUAGGACACUCCCUACUUCUCCCAUGACAACAAAGCUCCCCAUGGCUCUUCCCAUCUGCAGUUCUCAAAGUCAUCAUAAUUGGUCAACCAACCCACCCGUCCAUCUAGCCAUCCAUCCACCCACCAGGAAGUACGCAACCCAUGAAGCAGCCUUGGCAAGUACCACCCCCGAGGACAGAGGCUAGAAUAAAAUCAAGAGCUGCCACCAGGGCAAGUUUCUGGACCAGAGAUUCCCGCAGCCUGGCUCGGCAGGGGCCAGGUACUUCUGGAAGGCGAGCAUUCCUAAAAUACGUUCUUUGAGAAGCUCCGAAUGGUCAUAUCCAUUCACCAUCUCUAAGGCACCGAGUCUUUGCUGGUUAUCAAUGGAAAGGAUGGAUCGUGAGUUCCAAGCUGUUAGCAACAGCUAACAUUUAUUUAUCAAUAAUAUUGUCCCAAUAGACUGUCUGUGGCGGCCACAACACCCCUUCCCAAGGAUCUAUGGGUCCCUCCCAGCCAGCUGUUGGGGGGUGGGGUUACUAUUAUUAUCCAAAUACAUAGCACAACAAUUAGGAGCCCAGAGAUGAGAGCCAGCAAAGUUUGCGUUCCUGCUCUCACACACUGCAUGACACUGUACAAGUCUCAAUGUCUUUAUCUGUAAAAUGGAAAAUAUGAUACUUAACCCACAAACUUCAUGUCAGGAUUAAAAGACAUCACAUAUGAAAUGUCCUUUCACAGUGCUGACCCAGUG
rnacentral:lncRNA from 1 species